CACGACGCUGGUUAAUGGCCAGUGGGGGUGACCCCAAGGACAGUGCCACAGAAACAUACCGCCAUGGUGACAUGGUAAGGGCGAAAUGGUGCGGUAAGAGCGCACCGGCAGCCGGGUGAUCGGCUGGCCGCGGUAAACCCCGUCGGGAGCAAGGCCAGACAGGGACAGCAGCGCUUCGGCGCUCGCGGGUGGCUCGCCCGUCACGUUCCGGGUUGGCUGCUAGAGGCGUCAGGCAACUGCCGUCGGAGAGAGAUGGUUGCCACCCCGUCACCGUAAGGUUGCGGGGCACAGAACUCGGCUUAUCGAUGUCGUCUGACU
rnacentral:RNase_P_RNA from 1 species